rnacentral:rRNA from 1 species
GACGAACGCUGGCGGCGUGCCUAAUACAUGCAAGUAGGACGCAGUUGCGAACGGGUGAGUAACGCGUAGGUAACUACCUAUUAGAGGGGGAUAACUCUUGGAAACGAUAGCUAAUACCGCAUACUAGUAGAUGGACCUGCGUUGUAUUAGGUAGUGGGUUGGGUAAUGGACUACCUAGGCAAAGAUACAUAGCCAACCUGAGAGGGGGAUCCGCCACAAUGGGACUGGGACCCGGCCCAGACUCCUACGGGAGGCAGCAGUAGGGAAACUUCGGCAAUGGGGGGAACCCUGACCGAGCAAAGCCGCGUGAGUGAAGAAGGUUUUCGGAUCGGAAAGCUCUGUUGUUAAGGAAGCGGUACUUAACCAGAAAGGGACGGCUAACUACGUGCCAGCAGCCGCGGUAAUAC